AUAGACAUUAGAGACUCUGAAAGGUGGACCGUGGGAGGGGAGUGAGGGAUAAGAAGUAACCUAAUGGGCACAAUGUAUAUUUUUUGGGUGAUGGUUACAUUGAAAGCACAGACUUCACCACCACACAAUAUAUCCAGGUGACAAAGCUGCGCUUGUACCCCAUAAAUCUAUAAAAGUCAUUUUCUUAAAAAGCAUUUUGAAUAAAUUUUGAUAUUUUUGUUACUGCAUUAUUUUUGCCUGAUAAGAAGUAUCUUUAAAACAAAAUAAAGACUUUCUUAUUUCCUCAUCUAACUCUUUAAAAGAAAGGAGAGAAACUAAAAAGUAUUCAUACAUAUGCAAAGUAGGAGAUAUGGUAAAAUAAAAAUUAGAUUGGUAUGAAUAGGAAUUAUGUUUCUUUUUUCAAUGCAGUAAAAGUUGGGAGAAAAUAUAAAAGAAAAUUAAGGGGAAAAUGUUGCUAUGUAUUCAUUUAAUAAUAGAGCUACUGAUUUGCAGUGUUAUAACAAGAACAGAAAAUUUUUGAAAAUUAAUCUACAUGUUUGUAAAUUUUAUAAUGGAUCUUCCUGUUUACCUCCAACAAUGAACAUUUUACUUGAUUUCUCUAUCCUCUUUUUUUUUUUCCUAUGUGACUAUCUCUGUGUAACCUGUGGGUUUACAAACAUUUUCCUUGGUAUUGUAAAGACAAGAGAUAGCAUUGAAAAGAGAAAGCCAGGAAAACAACCUACAGGGACUGUUGAGCUGCCACAUUCACCCGGAAUGUCUUUAUCAUGUCCUCAAACUCAGCUCCCUGUGGACCAAUACAUCAGCCCAGACUUUAAUUUGGUUCGAGUAAUGGUUUCAUCAAUAGCACAUUAAAUCUGUGUUUGAGAAGAUAUACAGGUGAACCUGGCCCACACAGUAGAUACCACUGUCAUAAAAUGGCCACAGGCCGACAACAGCUGGGUAAUUACAAAUAAUUAAAU
rnacentral:lncRNA from 1 species